UACAGGGGGUGCAAACGUUGCUCGGAAUCAUUGGGCGUAAAGCGCACGUAGGCGGUCUGUUAUGUCGGAUGUGAAAGCCCUAGGCUCAACCUAGGAAGUGCUUUUGAUACUGCAAAGCUUGAGUGUGGGAGAGGAUCGUGGAAUUCCAGGUGUAGUGGUGAAAUACAUAGAGAUGUCAUAGAACACCGAUUGCGAAGGCAGCUGACGAAACUGUAACUGACACUGAGGCUCGAAAGUGCGGGGAUCAAACAGG
rnacentral:rRNA from 1 species